UGGGGAAUAUUGGACAAUGGGCGCAAGCCUGAUCCAGCCAUGCCGCGUGUGUGAAGAAGGCCUUAGGGUUGUAAAGCACUUUCAGUGGGGAGGAAGGGUGUUGUGUUAAUAGUACAGCACUUUGACGUUACCCACAGAAGAAGCACCGGCUAACUCCGUGCCAGCAGCCGCGGUAAUACGGAGGGUGCAAGCGUUAAUCGGAAUUACUGGGCGUAAAGCGCACGCAGGCGGCUUUUUAAGUCGGAUGUGAAAGCCCCGGGCUCAACCUGGGAAUUGCAUCUGAUACUGGGAAGCUAGAGUAUGUGAGAGGGGGGUAGAAUUCCAAGUGUAGCGGUGAAAUGCGUAGAGAUUUGGAGGAAUACCAGUGGCGAAGGCGGCCCCCUGGCACAAUACUGACGCUCAGGUGCGAAAGCGUGGGGAGCAAACAGG
rnacentral:rRNA from 1 species